GAGGACCCANACUCGUUUGUUUAGUGAUGUCUGAGUACUAUAUAAUAGUUAAAACUUUCAACAACGGAUCUCUUGGUUCUGGCAUCGAUGAAGAACGCAGCGAAAUGCGAUAAGUAAUGUGAAUUGCAGAAUUCAGUGAAUCAUCGAAUCUUUGAACGCACAUUGCGCCCCUUGGUAUUCCGAGGGGCAUGCCUGUUCGAGCGUCAUUAUGACCACUCAAGCCUGGCUUGGUGUUGGGGUCCGCGGUCCCGCGGCCCUUAAAAUCAGUGGCGGCGCCAUCUGGCUCUAAGCGUAGUAAUACUCCUCGCUACAGAGUCCCGGUGGAUGCUUGCCAGCAACCCCCCAAUCUCACGGUUGACCUCGGAUCAGGUAGGGAUACCCGCUGAACUUAAGCAUAUCAAUAAGCGGAGGA
rnacentral:rRNA from 1 species